GACGAACGCUGGCGGCGUGGAUUAGGCAUGCAAGUCGAACGGUAGGAUACCUUCGGGUAUCUGAGAGUGGCGAACGGGUGAGUAACACGUAGGUGAUCUACCCUCAAGAUUGGGACAACCCAGGGAAACUUGGGCUAAUACCGGAUGAAAGCAGCAGUGAUGUUGUUUGAAAGGUGGCGUAAGCUGCCGUUUGGGGAUGAGCCUGCGCUCUAUUAGUUAGUUGGCGGGGUAAAGGCCCACCAAGGCGAUGAUAGAUAGGCGGCCUUAACGGGUGGUCGCCCACACUGGGAUUGAGAUACGGCCCAGACUCCUACGGGAGGCAGCAGUCGAGAAUAGUCUACAAUGGUCGGAAGACUGAUAGUGCGACGCCGCGUGAACGAUGAAUCCCUUCGGGUGUAAAGUUCUUUUAUAUGUGAGCAGUGCUUCUUAUAUUAACAGUAUGGGGAGAGAGAUAUUAGCAUAUGAAUAAGCAACGGCUAACUCCGUGCCAGCAGCCG
rnacentral:rRNA from 1 species